rfam:Tulasnella calospora MTT 4182 unplaced genomic scaffold scaffold_34, whole genome shotgun sequence.
GGGCUCGUAGCUUAACGGUAAAGCACACACAUACUUCCAACACUAUUGUUAUAUGGAGGUUCAAAUCCUCCCGAGUCUA